rnacentral:rRNA from 1 species
GGCGGGCGAUGAUACUAGUGUUGGAGGGUUUCCGCCCUUCAGUGCUGCAGCUAACGCAUUAAGUAAUCCGCCUGGGGAGUACGACCGCAAGGUUGAAACUCAAAAGAAUUGACGGGGGCCCGCACAAGCGGUGGAGCAUGUGGUUUAAUUCGAAGCUACGCGAAGAACCUUACCAGGUCUUGACAUCUUCUGCCAACCUAAGAGAUUAGGCGUUCCCUUCGGGGACAGAAUGACAGGUGGUGCAUGGUUGUCGUCAGCUCGUGUCGUGAGAUGUUGGGUUAAGUCCCGCAACGAGCGCAACCCUUAUUACUAGUUGCCAGCAUUCAGUUGGGCACUCUAGUGAGACUGCCGGUGACAAACCGGAGGAAGGUGGGGACGACGUCAAAUCAUCAUGCCCCUUAUGACCUGGGCUACACACGUGCUACAAUGGAUGGUACAACGAGUCGCGAAACCGCGAGGUUUAGCUAAUCUCUUAAAACCAUUCUCAGUUCGGACUGUAGGCUGCAACUCGCCUACACGAAGUCGGAAUCGCUAGUAAUCGCGGAUCAGCAUGCCGCGGUGAAUACGUUCCCGGGCCUUGUACACACCGCCCGUCACACCAUGAGAGUUUGUAACACCCAAAGCCGGUGGGGUAACCUUUUAGGAGCUAGCCGUCUAAGGUGGGACAGAUGAUUAGGGUGAAGUCGUACCAGGGGAAACAAAAUUAGUCGUAAAAGAGGGGGGGGAGCCCCCAG